rnacentral:rRNA from 1 species
AAGGAAUAUUGGUCAAUGGAGGGAACUCUGAACCAGCCAUCCCGCGUGAAGGAUGAAGGGGCUCUGCCUUGUAAACUUCUUUUGCAUGGGACGAAAAAACUUAAUUUAUUAAGGACUGACGGUACCAUGAGAAUAAGCACCGGCUAACUCCGUGCCAGCAGCCGCGGUAAUACGGAGGGUGCGAGCGUUAUCCGGAAUCACUGGGUUUAAAGGGUGCGUAGGCGGUUUGAUAAGUCAGUGGUGAAAGGCCGUCGCUUAACGAUGGGACUGCCAUUGAUACUGUUAGACUUGAAUCAGGAUGAGGUUGGCGGAAUGUGGCAUGUAGCGGUGAAAUGCUUAGAUAUGCCAUGGAAUACCGAUUGCGAAGGCAGCUGACUGGACCUGAAUUGACGCUGAGGCACGAAAGCGUGGGGAGCGAAC